UCCCAUCGGCGAGGCCAAGGUGGGAGACGGUGGAGGGCGAGGUCGGCUACAGCGUGUUCCUGGAGGCGCUGCUGCAGGACCGAUCCCUGCGCCAGGAGACCGUCUUCGAGUGUGUGCUGUCCAUCCCCGACACCGAGUACCAAGUGCGAAGGAAGAUCAUCUACUUCCCCGGUUACGCGGCACUUGGGAGUUACGGUGGCGCAACAGUGAGCCCGCCGCUGCCUCUCUUCCUUCUUCUGCUGCCGUCCCUGCUCCUGCUGGCGCCCUCCCUCCGCGGGCCCUUGCUCCUGCCGACCGCCCGCUGACCGUAAGGAGGCCAGGGUCGUGGUGACGCCCAGCGACCCUCUACGACCGGCCCUUCAGCGGCCCUUCAGCGCGGACUUCAGCGGCCCUUCAGCGCGGACUUCAGCGCGGACCUUCCCCGUGUGUUCCUCCGCGCGCGAGCAUUCCGCCUGAUCUGUCCUGGGAAAAGAUGUCGCUUCGCCGAUCGAGUUACGCGAUUGUUGAUUAUUUCGUUUGUGGGGAAUGUUUAAAAAAAAAUGCAUUUCAGUUCUUGGAAUGCUGUGAGUUUGGACCAAAAAAAAAAUCAGAUAGAAAAGAAAAGAAAAAAAAAAAGAACGAAGGGAGAGACGUUGAUGCCUCGUAACAACCCAGUGAUGACUGUCCUCCGCGAACUCAAGUAGUUACAUGACAGGAAUUUUGAGGUUAGAAUAACUCCUUUGAGUGAAGACAUGAUUUCUUAGUCUCUUUCCAUCAUUAUUUUACUUGAAAUUUUCCUGUUGCUUUUUUUUUUUCUCUCAGCAAUCAAUCAAAUCAAUCAAACAGCUGUAGAUUCUGUCUAGUUAUCGAGUAUUUUGGUGUCGUGUGUAAAAUAUAUGUAUGAAGCUUAUUCGCACGAAACUUUUUGAUUUCACAUCUCGGAAAAGCAGAACUGAAAUCGAACACUUAGGGUUCAGAAUAGCAGCAGCAGAGAGCGCGCUGUAGUUGUCUUGGCUUCUUGUGUUCCCCGUAACCACUCUGAUUUGCAGGUUGUCCACCCUAGAGUUCUGAUUAGCUGUCAAGGAAAUGCGUAAAUGCUGCAAACUGUAUUAUAUUUUCACGUCUCAUAUUCUGCAGCAUUUGUAUCUUUGUACGAAUAAGUGUUUUGAUUUGACUCGAUGUGUAUCCGCUUCCUCUGCGCGUGUGUACGUGUUUGAGACAUGUUUUAAUAACUAGCGUCCCACUGCCCAAUCAGGUAACUGCAAACGCGUCACGUGACCUGGGACGAUAGGAGUCAUGUUCCUAUUGGUUAGGAGAAUCCGACUUGAUCGUCCAGUAAUAUUAGUAAAGAAAAUUAUCUAAAACUGGAGAAACGGGAAAGUAAAAGAUUGUUGAAGGUUCCAGUGAUUUGAGAAACCAUGUUUAUGACGUCCAGUUAGAUAAUAAACUAAAAAUACGGCUUAGAUUUUUUUUUUUCGGUUCGUUUCCCAGCUGCUAACACGAAGAUUUUCGUUCGGAAAUUCGUUGCCCGUAAUUGCCAUCACUGUACAGCAGAUAGAAACUACAUUCAUAUGGCUUUGCAGUAAUUUUGCAAAUUAAGUAUUGAUAGACUUUCACAUCUACAAAAAAAAGAACCAAACCCACUAAUGGUAAGCAAUCAACAUAUUUUGUAAAUAAAGUAUAAAUGGACGAAUUUUAUGUAGUGAACUUGAUUGAAUUAUAAAUACAUGUUAAACAUUUUGAAUUGAAAUUAUAUAUUACCAUUUUUUGAUUUACAAAUAUAUAUAUAUAUAUAUAAUAGCAAAUUUCUUCAUACGAAAAUGUACCGUUCAAGACCACGAAUAAAAUCUUUAA